rnacentral:rRNA from 1 species
AUUGAACGCUGGCGGCAGGCCUAACACAUGCAAGUCGAGCGAGCGGCGGACGGGUGCGUAAUGUCUGGGAAACUGCCUGAUGGAGGGGGAUAACUACGGGAAACGGUAGCUAAUACCGCAUAACAGCAGCUGUGCCCAGAUGGGAUUAGCUAGUGGGUGGGGUAACGGCUCACCUAGGCGACGAUCCCUAGCUGGUCUGAGAGGAUGAUCAGCCACACUGGAACUGAGACACGGUCCAAACUCCUACGGGAGGAAGCAGUGGGGAAUAUUGCACAAGGGGCGAAAGCCUGAUGCAGCAAUGCCGCGUGUGUGAAGAAGGUCUUCGGGUUGUAAAGCACUGUCAGCGGGGAGGCGUUACCCGCAGAAAAAGCACCGGCUAACUCCGUGCCAGCAGCCGCGGUAAUUC